CCCUGUCUAAGGGCACACAGAUCAUAUUCAGAGGUCUGAACCUAUAGCAAGGCUGUCUCACCUCCUUGCCAAAGGGCGCUGAUUAUGAGGUCACUGAAUGCUGAGUCCUGCCUAUCAUUACUCAGAGCUGGAAGGGUCCUUUGAGACAGUCUAGUUGUGCUUCUGGCUCGAGAGAUGGGAGACUGAAGUCCAGAGAGGUCACAGAGCUAUGCAGAGGGAUCUGACUGCCUGCUCCGGGCUCUUCCCACCGCUGCAUACUGAAAGGGAAAUAACCACUUUUCCUGCUUUGCUAUUUCAUGCCAGCUCUGCCCAUCACUUACAAUGAUCCCUUCCAUGGGGUGGGAUCUAUGCUUUGGGAACCUCCAUCCCGGAGCGGGGCGGACUGGCUAGGAUCAGGAAAACCCCUGGCAAGUUUAGGCCAGGAGCACCGGGACAAAUGUGCCCGUCCAUCCAUUCGGGAGUGGAGAACAGAAGGAAGGAUGGGAGGCAGAGGCCUGAGUUGGUCGCGGUGCUCUCACGGAGAAACGUUAGAGAAACGCCGCCUAAGGACCGUCUAAGGUGGGGACCAGGACAGGAAAUGCUGCGGGAAGAGGGAGUCGGAGGAUCGGUGCUGAAGGUCACAUCCACCACCGGUCUCUGCACACAACUCCCAGGAUCCAGCCACGCCUGGGACGUGAGCGAGAGACUAGGGCUGCACACGGGCUCCGGAAACGGGGAACCUGAAGACAACAGCGCGGGGGCCGGCGGUGGGGAAGACAGCGAGGACACAGAGGCUGCGCUGCUGCAAAAUCCGGGAACAAGGUGGCUGCCGCCCUCAGGAAAAUCGGGACGGGCCGACAGGGACGCUAGGACACCGCGUACCUUCUGGCAUACAGUCCCUAACCACGACCAGGCACCAAAAACGGGUUCCGUGCGCAGGGCGGGCACAUGCGCACUGGGAGAAUCAAGCGAUCGGCCCCGCCUGUUGCUCACAGCCCGGUCCCACCCCGGGCGCUGCGGACGGCGCGGGCGCAGAUCCGCGGGGCGGGCCCAACGAGGGGGUGGGACCUCUGCGCCCGGGCCGCCUCCUCUGCCUACUAACACUGCAAGCAGGCUCCCAGGCUCGACACGCCUCCCACCAGCUCAGGUGCCUCUUGCUUUCGACCCCCGGCCUCACCUGGGCUCCCAAUGGACCCCAACUGCCCCUGCUCCACUGGGAAGGAACCCCUGGCUCUGGGCCUCGGAGGCCCGCUUCUCAGGCACAGGACAGAGUGUCCCUGGGGUUAGGUGAGGAAGAAUUUUGAAUUUGAGCACGAGUGCACGCCCGCGGUUCACCCAGUGCUUUCUUCCUAGCCAGGGCAGGGACGGCAUUUUUUAAUCUUUUUUUUUUUUUUUUUUUUCUUGGGCCGUAGCACUCGGCUCGUGGGAGCUUAGUUCCCUGACCAGGGAUUGAACCCAGACACUAGGAAGUGAGAACGCUGACCCCUAACCACUAAACCGCCAGAGAUUUCCAGCCUCUAUUUUUGAAUGGAGAGUACAGAGGCUCAAGAGUGUCUUUGUUGAGGUCACCCAGCAGGUCGGGGGAUUGCUAGACCCAGUGUCUGGAGGAGGCCACGGAGCUGCCAGGACUUGAUGGGAGGAGGGGACAUUGCCUCUUUGGGGUUCAGGCCAUGGGCCCUGGCCCCCAGCCCCAGUCAGCCUGGGCUGGGUCUGGAGCCUGGGACCUUCCCUAUGGAGUCCAUCAGGAGGGGACCUACCCUCCUUGGACCAGAAGAGAGGAGCUGGGGCUUCUCUAUGCGCCUCAGUGGACACGAGCUCCCGGGGCUGGGUCCUGACGGAGGAGGAGGGCUCAGGGAGGCAUUGCUGACCGUCUGCUGUAGCUCCUGCAUCCCCCUCCCUGCUCACUGCUGGCCCUUCCCUUCCUGGCAGGCGGCUCCUGCAGCUGUGCUGGCUCCUGCACCUGCAAAGCCUGCAGAUGCACCUCCUGCAAGAAGAGCUGCUGCUCCUGCUGCCCCGUGGGCUGCGCCAAGUGUGCCCAGGGCUGCGUGUGCAAAGGGGCCUCGGACAAGUGCAGCUGCUGUGCCUGAUGUCGCGGACAGCCUGCCCCGGGUGUCAAUGGAAGAACGCGGGCCGACCUGCGUUUUUAUAAAACCCUGACUUGAUUGCUACAUUCCCUUUCCGAUGAAAUAUGUAAGUGGUAAUAAAAGUUGUUGACACUC